UACGUAGGCAGCGAGCGUUGUUCGGAGUUACUGGGCGUAAAGCGUGCGUAGGCGGUUGUCUAAGUCUGGUGUGAAAUCUCCCGGCUCAACUGGGAGGUGCGCCGGAAACUGGAUGACUGGAGUGCCGGAGAGGUAAGCGGAAUUCCUGGUGUAGCGGUGAAAUGCGUAGAGAUCAGGAGGAACACCUGUGGUGUAGACAGCUUACUGG
rnacentral:rRNA from 1 species